AUGUCAUAGCGACUUUUGGGGUAGUUUGCUUUCGGCAAAGGGGGACAAAGUCAUGGGGUAAGAGGGAAGGAGGGCCCAAAACAGCCUCCAAGACCCUCACCAUCUCUUCACCGGCUCCCCUUCCCCCCCCCCCAGGUCCUGUAAGAAGUUGGGCCCAGCUGGAAGGGAUUGACCGACGCCUCUUCGCCCUCGGCUGGCCUCUGCGGAGAUUCCAGGCCCCACAGAGACCAGGACUUCCCUCAGCGCCACCGCCCCUCGUGCCAAUGCAGCCAGGAAAUCGCCAUUACCCACACUGGGCAAGAGAACCGCACGGGGGGGGGGCAAUCGCGGAGGCCAGGACAAGGGAGAGAUGGAGGGAGAAGGUUCCAGGUUGGCCGUACUCAGGAGCAGGCCGAGCCGCGCAGAGGAAGCACUGGCGGCCGGUGCUGCCAGACUCACUGCGUCCACCCACCCCAGUCCGGUAAACUCACUGUCGCUCUCGGGAACUGGUUUUCCUCCAAUUUUAAAAUUUCAUGUGGAUGGCCCAUGCCAAUUUAGAAUGAAACAGAUUUAAAUACAUAAAGUACAAAUAAAUUGAAAUAAAAUCAAGGCAUCUGACAAAAAA
rnacentral:lncRNA from 1 species